rnacentral:rRNA from 1 species
UACAUGGGGUGCAAACGUUGCUCGGAAUUAUUGGGCGUAAAGCGCGCGUAGGCGGUUACUUAAGUCGGAUGUGAAAGCCCUCGGCUUAACUGAGGAAGUGCACCCGAAACUGAGUAGCUAGAGUACGAAAGAGGGUCGCGGAAUUCCCGGUGUAGAGGUGAAAUUCGUAGAUAUCGGGAGGAACACCGGUGGCGAAGGCGGCGACCUGGGUCGAGACUGACGCUGAGGCGCGAAAGCGUGGGGAGCAAACAAG